rnacentral:rRNA from 1 species
AGUUACCAGCACGUUAUGGUGGGCACGUCUAAGGAGACUGCCGGUGCAAACCGGAGGAAGUGGGGAUGACGUCAAGUCAUCAUGGCCCUUACGGCCUGGGCUACACACGUGCUACAAUGGUCGGUACAAAGGGUUGCCAAGCCGCGAGGUGGAGCUAAUCCCAUAAAACCGAUCGUAGUCCGGAUCGCAGUCUGCAACUCGACUGCGUGAAGUCGGAAUCGCUAGUAAUCGUGAAUCAGAAUGUCACGGUGAAUACGUUCCCGGGCCUU